rnacentral:rRNA from 1 species
CACGCCGUAAACGAUGAAUACUAGGUGUAGGGGGUAUCGACUCCCUCUGUGCCGAAGCUAACGCAUUAAGUAUUCCGCCUGGGGAGUACGGCCGCAAGGCUAAAACUCAAAGGAAUUGACGGGGGCCCGCACAAGCAGCGGAGCAUGUGGAUUAAUUCGACGCAACGCGAAGAACCUUACCUAGGCUUGACAUGUUCAGGACCGCAUUGGAAACAAUGCUUCCCUUCGGGGCCUGAUCACAGGUGG